rnacentral:lncRNA from 10 species
AUUUCGUCUGGAGUCCCCGGACCCCUCCUCAUCCUUCCCAGGGUUGCUCUGAGGCCAUUCCUCGUCAUCUAGGAGGGGUCUACAUAAAAGCAUUUAUAAACAGCUCCAAAUGGGAGCCUGGCGCGCCCACCUUUGGAGCACUUUUCUCUACUGCAGAUUUAUCUACUGCUCGUGAAAUCUCUGGAUUUAACUGUGAUGAAAGACCGGAGGCUGAAGGAGAACUUCAAUAUCAUAUAUUUUAAAGGUUGACUCACAGUUUGGAACAAGAAUUAAAGAACCACGAACUUCAAGGUAAAACGGGCAAUGGCGUUGGGGCAAGCCUCUCUGCAUCUGUGUGUCCAGCCUCUCCUGCGUGCCAGAAGUCCCCAGGCAGGAGUGUGGUGGGACAUCCGGCUGGGUCUGGAUGAAGUGCUUCAUGCCUGUAAUCCAAGCACUUUGAGAGGCUGAGGCGGGCAGAUGGCUUGAGCCCAGGAGUUUGAGACCAGCCUGGAAAACAUAGAGAAACCCCGUCUCAAUAUAAGAAGAAGAAGAAAAAGAAAAAAAAAAAAUCAAAAACGAAAACAACACAAAUUUUAGAGU